rnacentral:rRNA from 1 species
GUGAAACGCGAACGGCUCAUUACACAGCUAUAAUCUACUCGGUCUUGAACAGUUACUCGGAUAACUGUGGUAAUUCUAGAGCUAAUACGUGCACCGAAGCUGUCCCUUGCGGGGCAGUGCAUUUGUUGGAGCAAAACCAGGCGGCUUCGGCCGUUUUUGCUGACUCAGAACAACUUAGCUGAUCGCAUGGGCUUGUCCCGGCGACGUACCGUCCGAGUGUCUGCCUUAUCAACUUUCGAUGGUAGUGUACGUGACUACCAUGGUUGUGACGGGUAACGGAGGAUAAGGGUUCGACUCCGGAGAAGGGGCCUGAGAAAUGGCCACUACGUCUAAGGAUGGCAGCAGGCGCGCAAAUUACCCACUCUCGGUUCGAGGAGGUAGUGACGAAAAAUAACAAGGCUGUUCUCUACGAGGCCAGCCAUUGGAAUGGGUACAACACAAACCCUUUAACGAGUAUCAAUGAGAGGGCAAGUCUGGUGCCAGCAGCCGCGGUAAUUCCAGCUCUCAAAAUGCAUAGAACCAUUGCUGCGGUUAAAAAGCUCGUAGUUGGAUCUGUGCCGGCGACGUGGUCCACCCUAGCGGGCGGUACUGCGCUCGUCGGCUUUGGGCCGGUCUUCGUGCGGUCGCCUUAACCGGUGGCCGCCCGUGGCUGGCUGGUUUACUUUGAGCAAAUCAGAGUGCUCAGCACAGGCGUUUCGCCGGAAUGUUCGUGCAUGGAAUAAUAGAAAAGGAUUUCGGUCCUCUUUUAUUGGUUUUGUGGACUGAGAUAAUGGUUAACAGAGACGAACGGGGGCAUUCGUAUUGCUGCGUGAGAGGUGAAAUUCUUGGACCGCAGCAGGACGGACUACAGCGAAAAGCAUUUGCCAAGCGCGUCUUCAUUAAUCAAGAACGAAAGUCAGAGGUUCGAAGGCGAUCAGAUACCGCCCUAGUUCUGACCGUAAACGAUGCCAACUAGCGAUCCGCCGGUGGCUCUUUGGCCCUGGUGGGGAGCUUCCCGGAAACGAAAGUCUUCCGGUUCCGGGGGAAGUAUGGUUGCAAAGCUGAAACUUAAAGGAAUUGACGGAAGGGCACCACCAGGAGUGGAGCCUGCGGCUUAAUUUGACUCAACACGGGAAAACUCACCCGGCCCGGACACCGUGAGGAUUGACAGAUUGAUAGCUUUUUCAUGAUUCGGUGGUUGGUGGUGCAUGGCCGUUCUUAGUUCGUGGAUCGAUUUGUCUGGUUUAUUCCGAUAACGAGCGAGACUCCAGCCUACUAACUAGUGCGGGCAUUGCUUCUGUGCUUGUCACUUCUUAGAGGGAUUGGCUGCGUCUAGCGGCACGAAACGGAGCAAUAACAGGUCUGUGAUGCCCUUAGAUGUCCGGGGCUGCACGCGCGCUACACUGGCAAAGGCAGCGUGCUUGUCCGCCUCCGAAAGGAGCCGGUAAACCCUUGAAAAUUUGCCGUGAUUGGGAUCGGAAAUUGCAAUUAUUUUCCGUGAACGAGGAAUUCCUAGAAAGUGAGAGUCAUCAGCUCGCGUUGAUUACGUCCCUGCCCUUUGUACACACCGCCCGUCGCUGCCUAGAACUGAGCCAUUUCGAGAAUAUUCGGGAUCGCUGGUUGCGGGUCCUUCGGGGCACGCCUCCGGCAAGAGAACGAACGUAAUCGCAGUGGCUUGAACCGGGCAAAAGUCGUAACAAGGUAGCUGUAGGUGAACCUGCUGCUGGAUCAUUACCUUGUCUGCUACGACAUGCGUUUUUGAUGAUGUGGGGAGGUGUUAGGCUGUCUCUGCUUGACAUCGUCCUGACGGGGCCGCCUCUGCCCCUUUCGGAACAGUCCACGGGUGCCUGGCUUGGGCGCUAAUAAGCUAGCAGCUUUCCGUUACAUGCUCUAGCUUGACACCUACCCGUGGGCGAAAACGGCUGUGCUGGAUCCUGUGCAAACGCCGAGCAGUUGUUGUCUCUAAAGUCCGUGGCUGCUGUGAAGCGUUGCGAUAGACCCGACCACGCGUCUCUUGUGGUUCGAGGAGUAGGAUUAAUGAGUACCUGAAGCGGUGCCGCCAGCAAACUCUUUUUUUCACGAAAUUUUUUUCUUACAACAAAGCUAUAUUAGUCUUGCCGGUGGAUCAC